rfam:Suillus luteus TH-Slu-Lm8-n1 unplaced genomic scaffold CY34scaffold_30, whole genome shotgun sequence.
GCUUGCUUGGCUCAGUUGGUUAGAGCGCAGGUCUCAUACAUGCGUAUGACGAGUGUUCGCUCGGUAAUCCUGAGGUCGCAAGUUCGAGCCUUGCAGCGAGCA